GUGGCAGCGGCGCAGGGUUCAGCGAGGGCUCUUAGUGUUCUUUCUCCGUGGGUACCGAGCAUCCCGCAGCGCCUGGGAGGCCCUCGCACACUCGGAACGGGCCGGAAGUGCCGGAGGGUCGCCAAUCGCACGCUGUCUGGUCCGCCCUGGCAGCCCGCGGGCGGGCGGGCGCAGGAGGACUUCAGGUGGGGUCGUGCCGCGCGGGAGGCGACGGAGGCUCCCCGGGCCCUCACGUCUAACCCGUCCACGCUGCUGCACGCGAGGAGACAGGACCCGAGAAGGCAGAAAGCUCUGGUCCCAGUGCAGGGCCAGGGCGGCGCAGUGGUCGAGGGCCUCCGAGGCUAGCCGGCGGCCGACGAAGGAUCUUCCACUAUCCGAGUCCCGGAGCGCUGGUUGAAGGAGCAAGAGUAUGUUAAAAAAUGCCUCCUAGGAGGCCCAGGCGACGUGGAGCCCACCCUAGUUACGGACUUCGGCCCUCGGCUCGGCCCCGAGGCAGCGGGAGUCCUCUACCUGCUCAGCCUUCGUUCAUUACCUGUGGAUACAGCCACGGUAAUCGACCUUCUAGACAUUAUUUUUCCGCUUUAAUAUUACACUGACCAAUGAGAAACAUUUUUAUUGCACUCAGGUCAGCAGAUGAGGAGGUGCAGCUGUCCAAAGAGUAAACAGGCUGCAGUUGGAAAGACUCAGCUGAUCAGAGCAGAUACAAUGGAUGGGAGUCCUUCGUGGAAUUAUUAAAUAGGACCUACGACUGUCUCAGGAAGAAUUUGGAGUAGCCCAUAUACAUGGUUAAUUUCUUGUUUGAGACUCAUCAAAAGACUGGAGUCAGAUUGACUUUGUAUUUAUUCUUGAAAACCCAUCAAAGAUAUUUUUGCACUUGAAAUGCCAAUAAAAAACAAUUAC